rnacentral:rRNA from 1 species
CUCUAUGAAUAUAUAUAGAGUCUGACCUGCCCAGUGUGAAAGGUUAUUAACGGCCGCAGUAUUCUGACUGUGCAAAGGUAGCAUAAUCACUUGUCUCUUAAUUGGGGACUGGUAUGAAUGGUUUGACAAGGGCUGAGCUGUCUCGGGACACAUAAUUAGAAUUUAACUUACAGGUGAAAAGGCCUGUAUUGAAUUGAUAGACAAGAAGACCCUAUCGAGCUUGAAGUCAAAGCGGUGAGCUGUACUGGUGGAAACUUUUGGUUGGGGCGACAGAGGAAUACAGAAAACUUCCUUUAAAAAGUCGGAGUACUUAUAGGUUAUGAUCCAUUGUAUGAUCAAAAGAAAAGCUACCGUAGGGAUAACAGCGUAAUUUUCUUUUAGAGUUCUUAUCGAAAAGAAAGUUUGCGACCUCGAUGUUGGACUAGAGGGGCCAAAAGGUGCAGAAGCCUUUUAGGGCUAGUCUGUUCGACUAUUAAAUCUCU